CACCGCGGCUAUACGAGAGGCCCGAGUUGUUACCAUCCGGCGUAAAGAGUGGUUAUGGAAAAUUAAUACUAAGGCCGCAUACCUUCAAAGCUGUUAUACGCACCCGAAGACUAGAAGCCCGACUACGAAAGUAGCUUUAUAAAACCUGACCCCACGAAAGCUCUGGCA
rnacentral:rRNA from 1 species